GGGCUCCUUGUCCUCGACGGUUCCUCCCCGGAGGAUCAAAAGGGAACGCGGUGAGGGUGGAAGCCCGAAGCCGCGGCUGCCCCCGCAACUGUGAGCGGCGAGCCCAUCAUCAACACGUCACUGGGUGCCUCGGCACCUGGGAAGACGAUGAGAGGGCGGUGACCCGCGAGCCAGGAGACCUGCCGUCAGUCGUGGUCACAC
rnacentral:ncRNA from 2 species